rnacentral:lncRNA from 1 species
GUACAUAAUGUUGGAUAAAACCUAGUUUUAUAGCAAGCUAAACUUCACACUUGCAGUCGCAUGAAAUUCCAUUAUAUUGUUAACGAUGUGUGAACAAAACAAAGAGACAUAAUAGGUAAGAAUGUAAAAGAAGAGGGACGAAAGAUACCAAAGGGACAGUCAAACUCAUAAAUCGAAAAUAAACUGACAACGCCAUGGCUAAAAAUGAAAAAGACAAACAGAUAAACAAUAUUACACAUGACACAACAUAGAAAACUGAAGAAUAAACAACACGAACCCAACCAAAACCUAGGUGUGAGCUCAGGUGCUCCGGAAGGGUAAGCAGAUCCUGCUCCACAUGUGGCAACCGUCGUGUUGCUUAUGUGAUAACAAAUCCGGUAAAAGUCUUAUUCGGUAGUCAAAAUAGGGUGCAACAGUCAACUUUGUGUAAACAAACUAACUAAUGUUUACCAUAGGAGUGAUAAAAAAAAAAAUCAAAUGUACUGUGCAUGGCAAUCUUCCAACACAUAGCUUUUAUUAAAAUGUCGUGUCAAAUGGAAUGACAUUAUUGUAUAGAUAGC